CCCUGAUUUCCAUGCCUUUUAUUCUAUUGCACAUAAAGAAGAUUAGCAUUGCCCCUGUGCAAGGUUGACAUGGGACAAACCGAGAAAUGGUCCAAAUUAAA